GGUUCCGGUACCGGUCUAGGACCGGACCGGUACGUACCGGCCGGUACGGCAUUCCAUGCUCUAGACCAUAUCCUUGAUAGUGAGCAUAAUUGUUUACUGGAUUCGUAUGCAAGUGAGGGUCUACGAGGUCAACAGUUUGAAAGUGUAUUAGUUCAUAAUGGUUAUACGAGGUCAUUGGAAUGAUGGGGGACCAAAUUGCAACAUAAAGCCUGUGUGGGAACAGAAAGAACAAAUGAGUUUAUCCUGACUCACUAGUGGUCCAGUAAUGCGAUAUGGGCACCAUAUCCCUAUGUCGGAUCACGUUACUAAUGCAUGACAAUAUUGGACUUGUAAGGAUAGGCUAUUGAUAAUCAGGAACCUUAGUUGAUCUAUCCUAGUAACAUAUCUAGCAUGUGCCUGAUUCUUCUUUAUCAAGAAGUUAGAUGGUAUAAGAAUUGCAUUAUUAUUAUGUUUGAGAUGUCCAAUUGUUGCUUUUCUUUGUUGUUCGUUACCUAGAUCAGACAUCUAUGGCUGGCAUGUCCGGGAAAACUUUUUUUGCCAAAUUAAUGGCGAUAAACAUACUUGCUUAUGUGUGAAACAAGUGUAUUUGUACCAAUUUAUCUUAGGCCAUGCAUAAUGGUGAAUGGACUAGAAGUUUGAUGAGUGGUUUGUGGUUGAUUAAGCAAUGACUCUAUCAAUCCUUAGUGGAUUAAGCUGAAUCAAUUCCUGGUAUGGACAUACAUAGCUAUCACAUGAAAACACAGUUACUCCAUAUUUCAAGAAUGGCCGGUUUCCACUUCAGGUGAACAGAUUCCUUGAAGUUGCAGUUUGACAUGGUUAAUUGGCAUGCCUAUAAAACUCGACCACAUUUGGAAAUGGCAGGAUGUUAGGUUCUGAUCGACAUGUUGAACCUGUCAUGCAUGUUGGAUCAGUUUGACAAACAUAUGGAUAUGGUUAAAAUUGCAGUACUUUGGAUAUCAAGAUCAUAUUUUAUCUAUUUGGCUUAAUUUUGUUUCCAAAUUUUCUAAACUACCUUUGAUCACUGCAUAAUGGGACAGUAUGUGCUUGCAGGUAGGUAUGCAAACAAAAGGAGUUAUUUUGGACGCUUUCAAGGAUAAUUUUGCUGGCCUGCUGAGCUAUAUAUUAAUCUGCUGAAUAAAUCUUCUUUGCUCAGGUGGUUUUGGGUGUUAGAAUAUCCCAUGUCUUGAGGGGACGCGCAUACCGCUGCUGACUGACUUGCAAUCUAUAGUGGAGUUGUUUCUGUAAAUGUGCAGGCAGGUGCUGCAGAUACAAGCGUAAGGAUGUUCUAGAGGCAUUGGAGGAUCCUCAAUACACUCGGGCAAGUUCGUUUUUGCUGUUUCAAGUCAAAGCUCGGCUGCGUACCAGGACCCCAGACGUAACCAUCCAUUCCAAACUGUUGCUUCGUGCGAUCCGAGCUGCUCACCACCGAGCCUUUCAGCAUCUCCCCUGCUCGGCAUCAGGGUCAAGUUCAAACUUGGAUUGGUCAACACCGGCGAUCCCAUGCGAUGAAACAAUGGAGCUGCUCCCGGAUUGUUAGGAAAAAGUACAACAUGAUAGCUGGCAAGAUAGUAUUGACGAGGGUUCUGGAUUUCGCUGUCGCAUUCACCAUCUUUGGCAACAGAAUGAAAUUGCAAGCAAGAAGGGAAGGUAUACCUUUCAAAGCAGAAAACUAUGCAAAAAUUUCUCAAGUUUUGACGACUUCCUUUUUGUUAAUAAAAAGAAUAUACUUACAGAGUUGGGAAACAGAUCCGAAUCUGAUUGAUAAUUCUCAAGUUUCCUAAUCUGGUGAGGUAGGAGUCUAUCGAGUCAUGUUGCUUUUAUUUGCAUAUUUUUAAAAGUCAAGCUGUCCUGAGCUCUUGGCUCAAUUAAUUGUAACAUCUACUGGUAUUUAUGCAAUCUAAGUAAUGAUAAUUCCAGGCC